rnacentral:lncRNA from 1 species
UUUUUUUUUUUUUUUUUUUUGGAGAUUUUCUGAAUCAGACUUUCACUACUUUCCGCAAGGGUCAACCCUACCUCCCUCUCUCUAAGCAAAUAACCCAUACUUACUUCCAAAGAAAACUGCUACCAGGGGAAUACUAGCUCUCACUGCUUUAUAAUCCCACCUAUUCCUUAUCCUGGGCUUCCUUACCUUUCCCUCAAGGAGAAGGGGAUUGGCUGUGAAAUGGAGCAGAAACCUGUGGGGACCUCCCAGGUACAAAAGCUCCUCCAUGUCCCUCAUUUAUUGUUUGGGGACUUUAGUCUUCCAAGUCUUCCCUGAGUUCCAAAGAGCAGACUUAAGCAGUUACUACUUAGGGAGGUGAAGGAAUGCAGAAACAAAGGGAAAACAGUCAAGUAAGAAAAGUAAGGGUAGCUUAAACAAUUGUGCAGCAGUAAAACAGAGCCCUAGUUCCUCCUCAAGGGAUGUACAAAACAAUCUGAGCAUAUCUUUGUGUCGUUUUGCAUAAACUAAGGCUCUCUCCCAGGUAGAGAAUGAUGACUAAAUGCUGACCACAAGCAUGUAGCCCCAGACUGGUUAGAACCAGAAGGCUGAUAAUUAAGAUUCCAUAAAUAUCAGUCUGUUAUCUUACCACUGACCAAUCGGAAGAAAGUCCAUGAGCUACCAUCCUAAUCCUAACAGUGCCUUUAAAAACCCUUCCCUGAAAGCCACCAGAGAAUUCAGGUCUUUUAAGUGUGAGCUACCCAUUCUCCCUGCUUGGCACCCUGCAAAUAAACUCUAUACUUUCCUUCACCACAACAUGGGGCCAGAAGAUUGGCUUCGCUGUGCUGCGGGCAAGCAGACCCAAGUUCGGUUGGAUAACAAGCUAUACGUGACCUCAUAGUGUCAUCCCUCGACAGAUAACUUUUCUUGCCUGGAGUUCCAGCUCUGUUGUGUUUCCCAGGCUAUUAAGUCAUCAGUAUCUCCCAAGGAAUUAAUAGGGUCUUCAGAGUUUCAGGUUGGCUCCCGAUGCUUAGCUGUUCCUAGACUAGGCCACAGGGAUUUUUCUAACUUACUAAAUAUAUCUGCUGUUUCUAUCUUCUAUAUAUAAUUAGAGUCACUGGUUCAGACCAACAAAAACAUUGAGGAAUAUAAUUCAAAGAAAAGCUCUAACAAACCUUUGGAGAGCAACGUUUCUGGUCCCUGAGGCUGUUAUUUCUCUAACAGAGUGAGGGGCAUUCCCUUUAUAGCUUCCUCAUAGCUCUAGAAAUUUAAAAGUUGCUUUGUCCCAGACUGAAUAGCUAGAUCAUUGACACCAGAUACCAGGGUUAUGAAGGCAGAGCCAAAAGAUGUUUUCCUAGAAGAAAUGUUUAAAUACCACCCCUACCUCCAAACAACAUAAAAGGAAACAAGGUAGUUCAUAGUGAACAAUGCGUUUAAUUUUCAUGUUAAAAUUAAAAGAAGGGGAAGGAGUUUAUCUGGUUGAAAUGGAAAUACCCUCCAACUUGAGUGAUUUAUGCCUUUAGGACUUGCAAAGGAUCUUGGAAGAGGCGGAAAGCAAUGAAUCUAUGUGUCAACUAUGCAGCGGAGAGCCCCAAGUGAGUUUCAUGUAUAAUACAUAAUGUUGAAGGGGAACAGAAUUUGUCACCCCCAAAUAUGCCACUUUGACAGGAGGAUUACUUUGAGCUAAAGGUAAUUAACCCCAGCAGACUUGGGGGAAGCUCUACACCUCCCCUCAAAUGCCUAAAUUUACAUUGGAAAGGAGGCCCAGGAAGAGAGCUAUUAUCAGAGAUAUCUUUUUACCCAAGAAGCAUCUAUAAACAGGGCAACCUUUGUUUUCCAAACAUCUCCUUUGCCUUCCUGCCAAUCUCCCACCCUUUGCAGCCCCAAGCCCUUACCCCUUUUCCUAACUCAGGAUCUUAUACAAACCUCGCUUACUUGGUUGCUCUUUGGGUCUCAUAUUUUUAUGGGGAUCUUACACAUAUGGAAUUUGUUUCUCUCUGGUUAAUCUGUCUCACAUCAGUUUAAUUAUCAGACCAGCCAAUGUCAUGAAUAACAAGCCUUCGUUUUGAGGUAUGAGCCCUUUUUCUCCCUUGUCAAACCUUCUGAUUACGUCUCUCACACUACAUUAUCCACAAAGCUGCUAUGGGAUGGAUGUUCACAUCAAGGGUGGCUGCAAAAGCCAAGAUACACAAAACUGAGAUUUGACUGAAUAAGAUCUGUAAGACAAAAUGUUUCCCAGGUGAACAUCAAAAUAAGAAGGAACUAAUUUAAUUGUCCAUCUCUGAUAUUCAUGGCUAUUUAUUCCAAGCGGGGUCACUCAAAAGUUUUAAACCUAUCCCAUGACUGCAAACUGAAAUAAGUGAACUCUGGCUAAUACUGUAUCAAAGCGUAUGCUAAAAAUUCUUUGAAAUCCACAACUACUGUCCCUUCUCACCCCCAUAUAAUAGGCAUGGAGUAGGAUAGUUACACAGGUAACUGUAGGAGUCCCAGUAGGGGCCACAGAUAGAGAAGGAACCCUAGUGAACUUUGGGAGACCACUGUAAGUUAAUAAUUGCCCAAGAAAGCCAUCAUUACAUCUUGGAAUGAAGCAGGCUGGCUUAACUAAUAAACCCAUAAAUAACAGCCUGAGAUAUGCCUCAGGUCAUUCAAUGAAAGAUAAAACGGGGCCUGCAUUCAAGUUCAGCAAGAUAAUGAUCCUUAAGACCAAGGAUAGAAUUGAAGAGAAAGAUGGCAUUCCAAAGUGAUAGGGAUGGAGUAGAAUAGUUAUACAGGUUUUUAUAGAAGUCCCAGUAGGAACCAUAGGUAGAGAGGGAAGCCUAGAGAACUUUGGGAGACCCCUGGAAGUUCAUAAUCGUUCAAGAAAGCCAUCAGAAUGAAGCAGGCUUGCUUACCUAUAAAACCAUAGAUAAAGGCAGGAGACAUGCCUCAGGUCAUUUAAGUGAAGGAGAAAAUGAGGCCUGCAUUCAAGUUCAGCAAGAUAAUGAUCCUUAGGACCAAGGACAGGAGUUUAAGGGAAAGAGGACCUUCCAAAAGAGGAAACCUCUCAUUAUAUGGAAACCUGAGAUGAUUCAACAUAUUUUCACAUACAUUACCACCCUUCUGCUGAUUUGCAUAAGCAUCAUGACUGUCCUAGUUUGCCCUCACAGGGUCAAAUACUCUCUUACUGGAUAUGAAGGAGGAGCUAAGGAGGUAAGCCUACCGCCUACUUGAAGAACAAGGAAGAAGGCAGUCCCCUUCCCACUUUCCUUGGAUUGUAAAAAUGUAGCCCAGCUAAUCCUCGGGGCAGAGUUUCUUCGCCUGCCUGCUUGUAUAUCUCACGAGCGUCCUAUCUUAAUAAAUCUAUUUCUUGCUUAUCACUUUGUCUCUCACUGAAUUCCUUCUUGUGCUGAGAUACAAGGAACCCGAACCUCAGUAAGCCCAGACACCAGGUGAGUGAUUCUAAUUAAAAAACCUUGGGUUUGGGAGUUCCCAUUGUGGCGCAGCAGAAACGAAUCUGACUAGGAACCAUGAGGGUGUGGGUUCGAUCCCUGGCCUUGCUCAGUGGGUUAAGGAUCUGGUAUUGCCAUGGGCUGUGGUGUAGGUCACAGAUGUGGCUCAGAUCUGGUGUUGCUGUGGCUGUGGCAUAGGCCAGCAGCUGUUGCUCCAAUUAGACCCCUCGCCUGGGAAUCUCCAUAUACCAUGAGUGCAGCCCUAAAAAGCAAAAAACAAAAAACAAAAAAUAAAAACCUUGGGUUCAAAUCCCAAUCGGGGAUCUGGCUAGGUUCAAGUCAGUGUCAGUUUCUCAUACACUAGAGUCAACAUAUGCCUAAUUUUCUUCUGAAAGUAGUUGUCAGUUCCAAGCAAAUAUAUUCAUAUCUGUGAUAGAAAUUAUCCUUGUAACCUUUCUUUUCCCCUUUUAUGCUCCAAUAUCAUCCCUCAAGGGUAAUUCUUACCUGUUUAAAAUGGCAUAAAAUACCACUACUCUUAAUUCACAGCAUAAUUCAGGAUAGAAAAAUGAAUCUUUGAGCAUAUUUAUUUGUGAUAUUAAAAAAUUAAAAGUGUGGGGAGCUCCUGUUGUGGCGCAGCAGAAACGAAUCCAACUAGGAACCUAAGAUUAUUUUAAAGUGAAAACAUUUGAGCUAUAGAAGAUAUAGAAAGAAAUCUUAUCUAAACUUCCUUUAUCUAAAGCAGAGCUUCCCCACAAUAUAGCUGCAAUUAACCUCCCUCUGAGGAAGUUUCCUACAAACUCAACUGCCAUGGAGACAGAUGCCCCUUGCCAUUAACAUCAAAAAGCCCAACAGAACCUUCCAAAUUUUCCCACUGAAGACCUAACAUGCCCCUACCCCCACUCCCAUGUCCUUUGUUAAACUGGUAUACAAACAUGUAUCUCUGGUUAUUUAGAAGAAUACACAGUACUGAGCAGCUCUCCAGUGCAUAUGUAAAUAAACUUUGUCUUUUCUCCUGUUAAUUUAUUGUCAGUUAAUUUGCAUGACGCCAACCACAGCACUCAAGUUAGAAGAAGAAAAUUUUUCCUCCCAACAAGAGCAAAGUGAAGUUUGAAAACAGGCCCUAUUUGAUAUUUCAGUGUACGUCAUUCAUUAAGUUUCUGAAUUCAAAACUGUUAUGUUAAUAAGUGAAUGUGAAAACCAAGCAGGACCUGCAGGGCCUAUCUGGUGACAAAUCUCUCUGUGUCCCCCAUUUCUUGUUUGUAGAAAAAAGCUUUAGUCUUUUAGGCCUUCCCUGAGUUCCAAGGAACAGAAUUAUGCAGUUUCUAAUUAGGGAAGUGAGGGAGUGUGGAAACAAAGGAAAAGCAGUCAAGCAAGAAAAGUGAUGAUAGCUUAAGCAUUAGUCAAAUGAUCAUAAAACAGAGUCCUAUUUCCUCUUCAAGGCAUAUAUGUGUGUGUGUGUGUGUGUGUGUGUGUAUAAAACAGUCUGAUGCAAAUAUUUGAUUGUUUUGCAGAAACUAAAGACCCCUACCCAGGUGGAGGACAGUAAUCAUGUUUUGAACACAAGUACAAAGACCCCAGACUAGUUGGAACCAGAAGCUUGAUGACUAAGAUUUCCAAAACCACUAUGUUACCUCACCACUGACCAAUCAAAAUAAAGUCAAUGAGCUGAUCACACACCCUACAACCCUCACCCCCAAUGUUGCCUUUAAAACCCUUCCCUAAAAGCCAUCAGGGAGUUCAGGUUUUUGAGCAUUAGCUGCCUUGCCUGUUCUCCUUGCUUGGGUCCCUGCAAUAACCACUGUACUUUACUUCACCAGAAGCCCAUGUCAGCAGAUUGGCUUUUCUAUGCACCAGCAAGCAGAAUUCAAGUUUGGUUUGAUAACAAUAGUAUUAUUAUUAGUUUAUUAGAUAUAUGGCUGUAGUGAGUCAGGCCUCCUGAAAUUCUAUUAGUGGACAGGAAAUUCACACAAUUUCCUGGAAAGCAAUUUUUCCAAUGUAUCAAGAGCCUUAACGAUAUUUAUAUCUUGGAGUUCCCACUGUGGCUCGUGGUUAAUGAACCCAAUUAGUAUCUAUGAGGAUGUGGGUUCAAUCCCUGGGCUUGCUUAGUCGGUUAAGGAUCCGGUAUUGCCUUGAGCUGUGGUGUAGGUUGCAGUUGCAGCUCAGAUCUGGCACUGUUGUGGCUGUGGUGUAGGCCUGCAGCUACAGCUCCGAUUCCACCCCUAGCCUGGGAAACUUUUUUUAGGUGCAGCCCUAAAAAAACACAAAAGACAAAAAACAAACAAACAAAAAAAAACAACAAUGUUCAUGACUAUAGCAUGAAAAUUUGAUUUCUAGACAUCUAAGGAGAUAAUAAGAGAUGCUCUCAAAUAUUUAUUUAAGGAGCUACCCAACACAAUAUAUAUUUACUUUUACAAGGACAAAAACUACAAAAACUUGAAUAUCCAAUAAUAAAGAAUAGCUAACUAAAAUAUUAAUGGGUAAAAUAAAGUCAAAAAAUGGGUACACUCUAUAUCACCUUUGUUAUAUAUACUUGGGAAGGCAUUUAGAAAGAAAUAUAUAAAAAUUCCAAUAGUUGUUUUCUCUGAAUUGGAGAAUUAUGGAUGGUUUGUUUCUUCUUAGUAGAAGAUAAAAAAAUAAAGGACCAAGCUCUGGUAAAAGAACCAACCAAAAUGUACAAUAAUUAUUUAUGGACCCAGUUAGCAAAUAUUGUUUGGAGAGUUGAAUCAAGGAACAGGGAGGAAUUUAAAGCUUUUUCAAAAAUAAAUAUAAAAGGAUACAGUCUGCUAACUAAAGGGGCUGUUUUUGUUGAAGGGGGUUCAGAAUGGGCCUUCCCAAAAUGUAUCACUUUGGCAUGUGGGUUAUUUUGAGGUAAAGACAGUUGAGACCUUGCAGGCUCAAGAGAAACUUCUGCCUCUUCCUACACUUCCUAGAAGAAUUUAAAUUGGCAGUCUUUCCCAGAAUGAGAAUUAUGACCAGGGAUAAAUUUUAUCUGAAUGACCCAUCUGUAUGGCAGGGCAAACAUCUAAUUACCAGACAUCUGCUCUUUGUAUUGUCCUGUGAAUUGCCUUCCUCCCCUUGGAAGCCCCAGGCCCCUUUUCCAUUUCUUAGUGCAGGAUGGCAAUACAUAUACUUCAUUUUAUGCUUCUGUCUUUGAACCUCUCAUAUGGGUUCCCCAUAUGUAUGAAAUUAAAUUAGUUUUUCUCCUGUUAAUCUAUGUCAUGUCAAUUUGAUUACUGGAUGAGCUGAAAGGAUCUUUGAAGAGUAGAAGAAAAUUCUUUCUCCCCAAUAUACAAAUAGACCUGUUGACAUUCAUAUUUGUCAAACAAUUUUGAGUUCCUUAUUGUAUACCAACUUCUAGGCCGGUCCUUUUCUUUUCCUUCUUUUGUAAAGGCAUAAUUUUCAUUCUUGAAAUGAGCCACAGGUUAUGAAAAGACUUAAACAUUGAAAUGCUAAACCACACAUGGAAGUGUUACAGAAAUUUCUGCUGCAAACCACAAAGAUAACAUUUUAGGAAGGAAAGGAAAGGCAAUUAAAAAUUCAACUCUCAAACCAUCACACAAUCUUUCCAAUGUAGAAAGUGCUGGAAAUAAAAAUCCCAAACUCAGUAUAUUGAUAAGGAAACUUAAAUAUUGUUUCUAAUUUUAACAUACAACUUUAAAAAAUUCCAUGAGGAACUGCCUACCACUAUAAAUUUUUAUCACCAUAAUUAAUAACAAUAGCAGAGCCAGGAACUAAUGAUGAGGCUGUAAACUUAAUUAACAGCAACAGUAACAAAGCAAGUGGCAGUUUAAUAGCCUGAAGAGUCACUUGAAAGCAUUAUGCUGCUGUUCAGAUUCUGUUCUGUUUGCGGAGCAAAACAGCUCUCUGUCCAAAUGAAGUCACUUCAGUUAGCCAAGAACCAUAAUCAGAGUUGCAUUUAGACAUGAGGCUUGCAUUUAAAAAUCCCCCAGGAAUGAAUUUCAGUAAAUCUUUCCACUGGUUAACUCACAGUUGAUUUGCCUGCUCACUGGUUUGCCGUAAAGGAGGGUAGGAGGCGAUGAGGGAGGUUAGCAUCCGGGCUGGAACUGCUACAUGAAGUGUAGAGGUAGAAAAUCACACUAAUAUAAAGGAUUCCCUCAAUCCAAAAACUCAAGACUACUGCGGAAAUGCCUGCCAGUUUUUCAGGGACACUUUGGGGAGGGGGGCUGUAGACCCUGUGAAGCUACAUAUUCUAGGAGUCUUGAAAGUAAGCAAGCAGCAUAUGCCUACAAAAAGACUUAACAUAAGAAUGCUCACAGCAGCUUUAUUCAUAAUUACCCCAAACUGCAAAGAGGCCAGGUAUCCAUCAACAGGUGAAUGGAUAAACACAUUGUGAACAAAGGACUCAGUACUUUAAAAGGACACCGACCGCUGAUACAUGCAAACAAAAAUGAAUGUCAAAAAUAUGCAGAGUGAAGCCUUAUGCAAAACAGUGUAUAUUAUAUGUAUUUAUCCCAAAUAGUAUAUACUCUGUAAUUCUAGAACUGUAUGAAGUUCUAGAAGAGGCUAAACUAAUUAAGGCAUGUUGAGAAAAAUUGUAACAUUGCUUAUCUCUGUGUGAUUGGCUUUAUACAGGUAUAUGCAUUUGUCAAAACUGACUGAACGUAAAAGUUAAAAUUUGUAUAUAUCACUGCAUGUACAUUUUUACCUAAAUAAAAACUAUAAAUGAAUGUUAAACUCUGGCUGAUGAGAUACAUACUGCACUGUUUAGGGCUGAGGUAUAAUGAUUUCUGAAGCUUGGUUUAAAAUGUAUCAAAAAUGG